rnacentral:lncRNA from 1 species
GUGUCUGUGUCAAACUUGGUGCUCUCUUCCAACUGGCCCAAUAACCUAAAUGGUGCCACACCACAUGGACAAAAUGCUUGAGUCCAAAUUACAUGGCAGUAGGUAGGUGGUUGAUUAUAUACCGCACAAACUUCGUAGAUGUGAGCAUGUGGGAAAUCACAAUUUGUUUGCUUUAACUGCUGAUGGUUUUGCAAAAAGCCGACAUUCAUCUGCGAGAAAAAGUUGUGAGAACUUGAGGUCCUGAUGACACCAUGAAAGUCCUGAGGGCUAUUUGCUGAGCAACAUUUUCUGAAAGAGCAAUGAAACCUUCAGCGCAAAUAAGGAACAGAUACAGGUACAUGGUAAACCCCUUCGAGGUCUAAAAGUCUGAAAAUAAGCCCCAUUAUUCAGCACAGCAUAAGACACCACUGUCAUGCCACUUCAUCAAUAGUUCAAUAAUCCAUCUAGAUCCAAACCCCCAAAUGACCCAUCAUUAGUAAAAGAAAAACCCUCACCAUCCUGUUUGUAAGCAUGAAUCAUAUCCAGCUUCAAAUCCAAGAACCCCUCUUCUUUCCCUUGUCUCUAGUUUUUCGGUCAGGUAAUGGAAAAUCUCAAAAGCAAUUAAAAGAUCAUCAUUAAUCGGGCUACUUGGAACAAAGGCACUCUGCGUAUCUGAAUUAACAACUGGCAGCCCCAUUUAAGUUUUUUAGGCAACAACUUUGAUAUAAUCUAGCGAAUUAUAUUGCAGAAACUGAUAGGUUGGAACUCCAUCAUCAUCUUUGGCUUUUUCAUCUUGCAGAUGCAGAGAAAGUAUUAUUGAUCACGUCAAUGCUCUGGUUCCAUUAACGAUAUCAGGAAUUGCCUUAGUCAUCGCCAAAACUUUUGGAACAAAAGACCAGGUUUGUAUGGCAAGAAAAACAUCAUGAUCAGAUAAUAACAUCCAACGAUCAUAAUAUAACAACUAAAACAUAUCGAAUAAGAGGUAAUAGGAUUCUAAUACCUGCCUGUAAAAGAACAAAUAAGCUACUCUAUGAACCUAAGCUCUAAUAAGUGAAAGGCAUCACACUCCAAUAGUGAAACACAUUGCCUUUGAAUAUGGGCAAUCAGUGCCUCCUGAAUACACCCAACAUGAAAGGAAACGGGAGCUGACAUGAAGGUGAUUGAGUUAUGAGGUUCAGAACAAAACCACCAACAGUACUCUAAAGUCACACUAACAAAACACCAACUAGUUUGGCACUCAAUCUAUGAUAAUUAUUGAUAAGGAACUCCAUGACAGUAACCAAAGCUUAUAACUAUUUCGUAUCAGAAACAGUUAAAAUUAAUUCUAUUAACAUCCCACUAACUGAAACUAAUUAGUAGCACUUGAUAGGUUAUCUAAGUGAAAUAUUGCAUUAACAAAAAUGUCGUAGAAUGAAACGCAUGAGAAACAUGUACGGCCCCCUCAGGUAUCAAUUAAAAAUAUGCGCAAAAAAACCACAGAAGCUAGCCAUUAAUACAAAUAAAAAGAAGAAAUCAAUUACCAGAUAUAACAGCCUCUUGAGAAGGAAAAUACAGAAAAAUCCUUGACACAGAAUAAUGGGAAGCAAAUAUAAGAGAGAUUAACCGGGCACUUCCCUAACAGAAUUGCUUGCCUUCCCAGAGAUCCAAGACAUGUUAAAUAAAAUGCAUUCAGUGUGCUGGACAAAGUUCCCCGGGGCAUAGAAGAAGGAAGACAUUGAUCACCUGCAAUCAAUUUUUCAAACUAAAUCCUCUACUUUGUGUAGUAGUGUUGGCAAGAAAAACAUCAUGAUCAAAUAUGAAUAACAAAAUAUCAUAAUAUAACAACUAAAACAAGGUAUAAGAGAGAGGAUUCCAAAACCUAGCUGUAAAAGCAUACAAAAGUAGCUUUAAAAGUGACCUAAACCCAUUCGACAGUGGACAAUCAUAGCAUGCUAAAUUUACACAAAAAGGAAAAGAAAAUCUUAUGUGAAGGUGGUUAGAUAUUAGACUUAGAACAAAUCAGCUAAAGUAACAAAAUAAAAAGAUUAGAUGGCCUCUCCGCACUUAUUGUAAUUGAUAAGAAAGCCUUGGAAGUAACCAAAGCUUGUCACUAUUUAGCAUCAGCAACAGUUUAAAUGAGUAAAAACCUAAACAUACCACUGUCUAAUCAAGUGGCAUCCAUGAUAGAAUUUUGAAGAUAUAUUUCAUGAACAAAAGUGUGUCGCACUCAUAGAAUCCCCAGGUGUCCACCAAAAAUAUUUGAGAACAAACGCUGGUUGCUUGUCAUCAAUGUAAAUAAAAAGGAAAAACCAAUUAGCCAGAAUGAUAUAAAGCCUCUUCUUUCUGUAAAAAAUAAAAAGAAAACUACAUGGUAACUACAAGAGAACAUAAUCAGACAUUUCCCCCAAGGAGUUGUUUGCCUACCACACCAACCACCUCAUCCAAAACUCUCAGCAACUAGCACACGGAAAAAUAAGCAUUACAUUGAAAAUUAAGAGAUUCAGGACAAUUUUCACUGAUGAUAAACAGAGUGGGAAGACAA